rfam:[Eubacterium rectale] ATCC 33656 chromosome, complete genome.
UUAACAGAUAGAGGUCGCGCGACUUAUGAGUAGCUUUCCGGAUGCCGCAGGGGCAGUUGAUGGGAGAUGAAAGGAAUAGCGCCGAAGGGAUUUAUCAUCUGCGGAUAUAUCUCUGGGCAUAUGGCGAACAGCCUUAUGACUGUCAUCAGAUUUGAUGGGGAGCUAUCGUGAUU